rnacentral:tRNA from 1 species
CCCUGGUGGCUCUGACAACAAAGAAUCUGCCUGUAAGGCAGAAGACCCAGGUUCGAUCCCUGGAUUGGGAA